GACAGAGGGUGCAAACGUUGUUCGGAAUUACUGGGCGUAAAGCGCGUGUAGGCGGCAGGGUAUGUCGGAUGUGAAAUCCCGUGGCUCAACCACGGAAGUGCACCCGAAACUACCCAGCUUGAGUCUCGGAGAGGAAGGCGGAAUGCUUGGUGUAGAGGUGAAAUUCGUAGAUAUCAAGCGGAACACCGGUGGCGAAGGCGGCCUUCUGGACGAUGACUGACGCUGAGACGCGAAAGCGUGGGGAGCAAACAGG
rnacentral:rRNA from 1 species